rnacentral:lncRNA from 1 species
GGGGGAUUUGGAGAUCGAAUCUUGAUCUCAAACUUCGUAAUUUUUGGAUUCUCUGGGGGAUUUUUGCAAUUUUCCCAAGGCCUAUAAAUAGUGAAGAGGUUUUCCCCAAACCCUCACAACACUUUUUUGCCCUUCUCGAUCGCUCAGACCCCCAGAUUUUGAAUCGCCGAUUCCUUGAUCUUCAAGCUCUAAGUCAGCGAUUAGCAAGAUGUCUUCCUCCGAUUCACCGUUGAAGGAAUCCGAAACGUCGGCUUUUAUAGCCGACAUGAUGGAUGUGGAUAACCUGGAUGUGGUGUUGAACACCGUUGAGUCGCCUAUUCCUUCUCCUGACAGAG